UUCGGAGGAUGCGAGCGUUAUCCGGAUUUAUUGGGUUUAAAGGGUGCGUAGGCGGACUGUCAAGUCAGCGGUAAAAUUGAGAGGCUCAACCUCUUCCCGCCGUUGAAACUGGUGGUCUUGAGUGGAUGAGAAGUACGCGGAAUGCGUGGUGUAGCGGUGAAAUGCAUAGAUAUCACGCAGAACUCCGAUUGCGAAGGCAGCGUACCGGCAUCCAACUGACGCUGAGGCACGAAAGCGUGGGGAUCAAACAGG
rnacentral:rRNA from 1 species